UACGGGGGGGUAAGCGUUGUUCGGAAUUACUGGGCGUAAAGGGCUCGUAGGCGGCCAACUAAGUCAGACGUGAAAUCCCUCAGCUUAACUGGGGAACUGCGUCUGAUACUGGAUGGCUUGGAUUUGGGAGAGGGAUGCGGAAUUCCAGGUGUAGCGGUGAAAUGCGUAGAUAUCUGGAGGAACACCGAUGGCGAAGGCGGCAUCCUGGACCAAUAUUGACGCUGAGGAGCGAAAAGCCAGGGGGAGCAAACGGGG
rnacentral:rRNA from 1 species